UUAUAACUUUAGUCCUAAAAGGACACUCUAUCUGUUUCUGUUUGGGCCCCAUUACUUAUGCUUCGUGAAAGCAUGAGUUGCCUCAUUCACUGUUAAUUCCCAAGCAUCUGGUUUAGAACAUAACCCAUAAUAGACACUCAAAUGAUGUGGAAUAAAAAUAUUUGAAAAUCAUAUAUCUGAUAAGGAUUAAUAUUCAGAAUAUAUGAAGAACUCCUUCAACUCAACAAUAAAACCGACAAUUUUAAAAAUGGGCAAAGGACAUAAAUAGAUAUUUCUCCAAAAAUAUAUAUAUAAAUGACUGAUAAAUCACCAGCACCAAAUGAAAGAUGCUCAACAUCACUAAUCUUUAAGGCAAUGCAAAUCAAAACCAUAAUGAAGUACCAUUUCACACUCAGAAGGAAGGCUAUUGUCAAAAACAAAAGAAAAUACAUGUUGGCAAGGACAUGGAGAAAUUGAAUUUGUAGUUCUUUUUUGAUGGAAAUUUAAAAUGGAGCAGCCACUGUAGAAAACAAUUGGUAGUUCCUCAAAAUGUUAAACAUAAUUAACACAUGAUUCAGCAAUUCUACCCCUAGAUAUACCCAAAAGAAUUGAAAGCAGAAUCUUAAACAGAUACUAAUACACCAAUGUUCAUAACAGCAGUACUCACAAUACCCUAAAGAAACAACCCAAAUUCUCAUCUAUGGAUAAAGAGAAAAACAAAAUGUAUUAUAUGUGUAUAGUGGGAUAUUAUUUAGCCUUUAAAAAGAAUGAAAUUCUGAAAACAUGUUACAAUGAGGAUGAACCUUAAAAACAUGCUAAGUGAAAUAAACUUGACAAGAAAAGACAAAUAUGUGAUUUCUCUCAUAUGAAGCAUCUAGAAUAGACAAAUUCAUAGAGAUCUAAAGUAGAAUGGGGUCACGACAGGCUGGACAGAAGGGAGAAUGGGAGUUAUUUAAUGGAUAUAGAGUUUCUGAUUAGGGUG
rnacentral:lncRNA from 1 species